rnacentral:tRNA from 3 species
GGUGGGGUUCCCGAGCGACCAAAGGGAGCAGACUGUAAAUCUGCCGUCAUCGACUUCGAAGGUUCGAAUCCUUCCCCCACCACCA